GAUAAACGCUAGCGGCAGGCUUAACACAUGCAAGUCGAGGGGUAUGGUUCUUCGGAACCAGUGACCGGCGCACGGGUGCGUAACGCGUAUGCAAUCUACCUUUUACAGAGGGAUAGCCCAGAGAAAUUUGGAUUAAUACCUCAUAGUAUAACAUGACCGCAAGGUCGAGUUAUUAAAGUCACAACGGUAAAAGAUGAGCA
rnacentral:rRNA from 1 species